UACGAAGGGGGCUAGCGUUGCUCGGAAUCACUGGGCGUAAAGGGUGCGUAGGCGGGUCUUUAAGUCCGGGGUGAAAUCCUGGAGCUCAACUCCAGAACUGCCUUUGAUACUGAGGAUCUUGAGUUCGGGAGAGGUGAGUGGAACUGCGAGUGUAGAGGUGAAAUUCGUAGAUAUUCGCAAGAACACCAGUGGCGAAGGCGGCUCACUGGCCCGAUACUGACGCUGAGGCACGAAAGCGUGGGGAGCAAACAGG
rnacentral:rRNA from 1 species